UAAGGUGAACUUAGUUUACACAGAUUUGUAUAGCAAUAAUGUCCUAAAAAUCUUCUUCCCUCAAAUAACAAUGCCCAAAGCUCAGAUAUUUGGUAUGUAGAUUUACACAAAUCAUGCCUAUUUUGGUCAAAAUUAGCACAAAAUCGGCCUCAAGUUACAUAAUUUAUAUAGACUUGUAUAGGAAAAUACAUUUAAGUAUUUUAGCUCACCGGAGGACAAUGUCUUCAAAGUGAGCUACUGUGAUGGCCCAUUGUCCGUCAUCAAGCGUCCAUCCGUCCGUGCGUCAACAAUAUAUUUAAACAAUUUUUCCUCCUAAACCACUUGGCCACAAUUGUGGAAACUGUGCAGGGAUGUUCCUUAAAUCACUACCAAAGUUGUAUAAAUAAUUAUAUUCCAUAAAGAACUCUUGUUGUCAUGGCAACUGAAGGAUAUUUUUUUCAAAAAAAAUUAAAAAAUGUUCUUGUAAAAAAAACAAAAUAGCUAGAGCUAAGAUAUUUGGCAUGAAACAUCUUCUUAUGUAUGUCUACCACGUUUGUUCAAAUUAAACCCCUAGGGUCAAAAUUGACCCCACACCAGGGGGUCAUUGAUUUUCCUUAUAUGUAUGUAGUAAAAACUUCAAAAACUUCUUUUGACAAUCCAAAAGCAGUAUUGGUUAGAUAUUUGGCAUGAAACAUUUUCUUGUUAAUGCCUACCAAAAUUGUUCAAAUAAAAGCCCUAGGGUCAAAAUUUGUCCGGCCCCAGGGGUUGUUGAAUCUUCCUUAUAUGUAUAUAGUAAAAGCUUACAAAAUCUUAGUGUGAAAAUCCAAAAGAGGUACAUCUUAGAUAUUUGGCAUGAAACAUCUUCUAGUAAAUGUCUACCAAGUUUGUUCAAAUAAAAGCCCUAGGGUCAAAAUUGGCCCUGCCCCAGAGGUGUCAUUGAUUUUCUUUAUGUAUACAUGUAUGUAUAUACAGUGUAACUUCUGAAAACCGAACACCUGUGGGACUUGCCAAAAAGUUCGGAAUUUGGAAGUUUCCGGAAUUCAGAAGUUCGGAAGUAUCUGAACAAGUAGAAACAUUAGGUUAACAUUGAACAUCAAUUGUUUAAGAAAAGAUGAAAAAUAUAGGAAGCUUAUCAAAUUCAUAAAAUGGCAAAACUAUAGGACUUUUAAAAAGUUAUAACUACAUUGUGGUGUACGGACAUAAUCCCCUUCGGACAAAAUCCCCUUCAUGUAUUUUUAUGCCACCGCAGCAUCUGCGAUGCGGUGGCAUAUAGCGAUUCACCUGUGUGUGUGUUUGUUUGUGUGUGUGUUUGUGUGUGUGUGUUAUAUAGAUUAUAUAGUGAACUUAAAAAAUCUUCUUGUGAAAAACCACUAGUCCAAUUUCAACCAAACUUGGCAGGAUUGAUCCUUGGGUGAAGGGCUUCCAAAGUUGUUCAAAGAAUUACAUUCCAUGCAGAAAUCUGGUUGCCAUGGCAACCAUAUGAAAUUAUAAGAAUAAAUUAAAAAAAUCUUCUUGUAAAGACCCAAAAGGCCUAGAGCUUAGAUAUUUUGCAUAACGCAUUGUCUGGUAGACCUCUACCAAGACUGUUCAAAUUAUAGCCCUGGGGGUCAAAAUCGGCCCCGCCCUGGGGGUCAUUGAUUUUCACUAUAUGUACAUGUAGUAAAAACCUAAAAUACCUUCUUGUAAAGACCCAAAAGGCCUAGAGCUUAGAUAUUUUGCAUAAGGCAUUGUCUGGUAGACCCUUACCAAGAUUGUUCAAAUUAUAGCCCUGGGGGUCAAAAUCGGCCCCACCCCGGGGGUCAUUGAUUUUCACUAUAUGUUCACAUAGUAAAAACUUAAAAUACCUUCUUGUAAAGACCCAAAAGGCCAAGAGCUUAGAUAUUUUGCAUAAGGCAUUGUCUGGUAGACCUCUACCAAGAUUGUUCAAAUUAUAGCCCUGGGGUCAAAAUCGGCCCGCCCCGGGGUUCAUUGGUUUUCCUUAAAUGUAUAUAGUAAAAACUUAUAGUAAAAACUUUAAAAAAAUUUCUUCAAGCAAUUGACAAAUGCUGGAGGUUAGAUGUUUUGCAUGAAACAUUGUGAAGUGAACUUCUAGAAAGAUUGUUCAAAUUAUAGCCCUGGGAUCAAAAUUGCCCCCGUCCUGGGGGUCAUUGAUUUUCAAUAUAUACAUAUAGUAAAAAGUCAAAAAUCUUAUUGUCUGAAGGUACAAGGCUAAGAGCUUUGAUAUUUGUUAAAUAAUAUCAUCUAUAGGUACUCUACCAAAGUUGUUCAAAUUUUGCCUCUAGUGUCAAAAUUAGCCCCGCCCCGGGGGCAAUAGGUUUUCCUUAUAUGUAUAUAGUAAAAACUUACAAAAUCAUCUUCUCUAAAUUUACAAAGGCUAAAGUUAAGAUAUUUUGCAAGAAACAUUAUGUAGUGAACCUCUAGUAAGAUUGUACAAAUUAUAGCCCUGGGGUCAAAAUUGGCCCCACCCCCAGGGGUCAUUGAUUUUCACUAUGUACAUGUAGUAAAAAAUUAAAAAAUCUUCUUGUCUGAAGGUACAAGGCUUAGAGCUUUGAUAUUUGGUAUAUAAUAUCAUCUAUGAGUCCUCUACUAAAGUUGUUUUAAUUAUGCCCCUAGUGUUAAAAUUACACUCCCCCAGAAGCGAUAGUUUUCCUUAUAGAUAAAGUAAAAACUUGAAAAUCUUCUUCUCUGAAUUGAAAAAUCUUCUUCUCUGAAUUGACAAAGACUAGAGGUUAAAUAUAUGGCAUGAGACUUUGCAAAGUGAACCUUUACCAAGAUUGUUCAAAUUAUUGCCCGGGGGUCAUUGAUGUUCAUUAUGUACAUAUAGUAAAAGAUAAAAAAUAUUUUUGUCUGAAGGUACAAGGCAUAGAGCUUAUAAUGCGGUGGCAUAGCAUUUUUCUCAAAUGCAAUCUUGUUGUAUAUGCAGACAUAAUCCCCUUCAUGGGUGGACACAUUCCCCUUCAUGUGUGAAAUUUUGAAGUGGACAAAAGCCCCUUCAUAAAAUUGCUACCUAGGACAAAAUCUCCCUCAGAGGAAUUUUCGUUUUAUAAAGUAGGUAUGAGAGCGACAUACUGCAUUAUGCUGUGUACAUGUAGUAAAUAUCUUAAUGUAUAAAUAAGUAGAAAAUAUUUCAGCAGAAAUGCACAUUCAAUUAGCAACAUUUAAAUGACAUUAAAAUUGCUUUGUUAAAGCAUUCAUAUAAACAAUCAAUCAAGUAGUGCAGUGAUCUUGGUUUGAUUAAAAUAUCAUUCUUUCAUCAAUAGAAAUUGUAACAAUGGAUAGUAUAUAUCAUUAGAAUUAUCAACUUAUACAAUCAAUGAAACAAUUAUUGGCUAAUAAAAAUGUUUUUCAUACUAAUCAAUUUAAAACAAUUCAAGAAAUUGCCUAAUCAAAUAUGUGUUAUGCAGUUGAUAAUUUACCAUAAUUUUAAUGAAAACUUCUAAACUAAAUAAAGGUUAACUAUUGAUACAUAAUUAUAAAUAAAAAACAAAAGUUCAUUAUUCAUCAAUUUUUAGGGAGUAUAGUAAUACGUUAUUCAUCAAUUUUUAUGGAGCAUAAUAAUACAUUAGAAACCUAUGAAACAAGGGGAUUUUGUCCGGGUAGUGAAGGGGAUUUUGUCCAGCCUAUACAUUGUAUAUUCAAUUUCAUUUUCAUCUAUAACUGAUUCAAAAGCAUAAUUUCAUGUUGUACCAUCUCUUAAUAAACUAUAUUUUUUGUUUUUAAUCACAUUUGAAUAUACAUGUACUUCUCAUUUUUCAUUUUUCACACUUUAAUCAAGCUUGACAAGUUGUGAUUGUAAAAGGUGUCAAGAUAAAUGGUUUGCUGCUAAUUGGAACAUACUGACAUUUUGAAGGUUUUACAAUUUCAAUUAUAAUAUUCCUUCACGCCUUUUUCAAUGUCCGGAUUUUGGAAGUAAAUUUGAAUGAAUAUAACUUAAAUUUUAUCGGACAAUUGUUCGGAAUUCAGAAUUUAGAAGUUCAGAGGUAUUUAUUACAUAGAAAACAGGAGGAGAAAUUUCGGGAUUCUGAAAAAUGUUUGGAUUUCAGAAGUUUCCGGAUUUUAGAAGUUCCAGAAUUCAGAAGUUACACUGUCACUGUAGUUAAAACUUAAAAAAAUCUUCGUGUGAAAAUCAAAAGGAGCUAUAGCUUUGAUAUUUGGCAUAAAACAUUUUCUAGUGGAUGUCCACCAUGUGUGAUUAAAUGAAAGCCAUUGAGUCAAAAUUGGCCCGGCCCCAGGAAUCAUUGAUUUUUCUUAUUUGUAUAAUUUUUUAGCUCGACUUUUCGAAGAAUAUGAGAGCUAUUGUAGUCGCCCCGGCGUCAGCGUCCGCGUCGGCGUCUGCGUUGGUUAAAGUGUUUUGUAAAGUCAAAUAUCUCAAUUAUUGCUUGAGAUAUUCAAUUGAAACUUACAAUACUAAUUUAUAGUAACAAGGUACAUCAGAUUGACAAGUUAGAUAACUCUGCCUAUAAUAUUGACAGAAUUAUGCCCCUUUUUAACUUAGAAAUUUUUUUUGUUAAAGUUUUUUUGUAAAGUCAAAUAUCUCAAUUAUUGCUUGAGAUAUUCAAUUGAAACUUACAACACUUAUUUAUAGUAACAAUGUACAUCAGAUUGACAAGUUGGAUAACUCUGCCUACAAUAUUGACAGAAUUAUGCCCCUUUUUAACUUAGAAAUUUUGGUUAAAGUUUUUUGAAACCUCAAAUAUCUCAAGCAAUAAUUGAGAUAUUCAAUUAAAACUUACAAUGCUUUUUUAUAGUAACAAUGUACAUCAGUUUGCAAAAUUGCAUAACUAUGCCUGCAAUAUUUGCAGAAUUAUUUGCCCCUGUGAAACUUAGAAAUUUUGGUUAAAGGUUAAAGGUAUUCAAAGAUAUUUACUUGAAACUUUACACAUGUACUUAGGGUCAUAAUUGGAGAGUCAUAAUUGUAUGUCACUGACCAAGUUCCAUAACUCUACUCGCAUUUAGGUUGAUUCAUCUCCCCUUUUCUACUUAGUCUAUAGGUUAAUGUUUACAUGCAAGUUUUACAUAUAUCUCAAUAAGUAUUAAAGAUAUUUAUUUUAAACUUCACUUAUGCAUUUAGAAUUUAAUUGUAGGUCACUGACCUAGAUCCAUAAUUCUAUCUUGCAGUUAGGCUGAUUUUUCUCCCCUUUUUCAACUUAGAAAUUAAUGGUAAAGUUUUGCUUGUAAGCUGUUAUCUCCAUAACUACUGAAGAGUUUGUGUCUUUUUGGGACAAUUUUAUGCAUUCAUAAUAAUAAAGCCGUGAUUUACUUGAUAAAACAUCUUAAGAACAAGCCUUUGUACCUUUUCGGUCAAUUUUAUGUAUUCAUAGGUAACUAGCAUUAUUAUACUCAAUAAAACACCCUUGUGACAAAUUUUUGAAUAGUCGAGCCAAUACUGUCCUCCAACAGUUCUUGUUAUAAUGAAAAUUUAAAAAAUAUUUUUAUGAAAACCCAAAAGAUUUAGAGCUCUGAUAUUUAGCAUCAAACAUGUUCUAGUGUAUGUCUACUACAUUUGUUGAAAUAAACCCCUUAGGGUCAAAAUUGGCCUGCCUCAAAGGAAUCGAGGUUGACAGUUCAAUUCCCAGCCAGGUCAAUUUUGUUUGUUUUCCUUCUCUUUUGCUGUCAUCUUUUUAUUAGCUCACCUGUCACAAAGUGACAGGGUGAGCUUUUGUGAUCGCUUUUUGUCCGGCGUCCGUCCGGCGUCCGUACGUAAACUUUUGCUUUAAAUGACAUCUCCUCAUAAACCACUGAGUCAAUUUCAUCCAAACUUCACAGGAAUGUUCCUUUGGUGGUCACCUUUAAAAAUUGUUCAAAGAAUUUAAUUCCCUGCAGAACUCUGGUUGCCAUGGCAACCGAAAGACACCGAAACAACCCUAAGAGCUAGAGCUUAGAUAUUUGGCAUGAAACAUCUUCUAGUGACUGUCUACCAAGUUUGUUCAAAUAAAAGCCCUGGGGUCAAAAUUGGCCCCACCCCAGGGGGUCAUUGAUUUUCCCUAUAUGCAUAUAGUAAAAACUUAAAAAAUCUUCUUUUAAAGAACCCAAAGAGCUAGAGCUAAGAUAUUUGGCAUGAAACAUCUUUUAGUGAGUGUCUACCAAGUUUGUUCAAAUAAAAGCCCUUUUGGUCAAAAUUAGCCCCGCCCCGGGGGGUCAUUGAUUUUCCCUAUAUGCAUAUAGUAAAAACUUAAAAAAUCUUCUUUUAAAGAACCCAAAGAGAUAGAGCUUAGAUAUUAAGCAUGAAACAUCUUCUAGUGAAUGUCUACCAAGUUUGUUCAAAUAAAAGCCCUGGGGUCAAAAUUGGCCCCGCCCCAGGGGGUCAUUGAUUUUCUCUAUAUGCAUAUAGUAAAAACUUAAAAAAUCUUCUUUUAAAGAACCCAAAGACCUAGAGCUAAGAUAUUAAGCAUGAAACAUCUUCUAGUGAGUGUCUACCAAGUUUGUUCAAAUUAAAGCCCUGGGGUCAAAAUUAGCCCCGCCCCGGGGGGUCAUUGAUUUUCCCUAUAUGCAUAUAGUAAAAACUUAAAUAAUCUUCUUUUAAAGAACCAUAAGAGCUAGAGCUUAGAUAUUUGGCAUGAAACAUCUUCUAGUGAAUGUCUACCAAGUUUGUUCAAAUAAAAGCCCUUGGGUCAAAAUUGACCCCGCCCCAGGGGGUCAUAGAUUUUCCCUAUAUGCAUAUAGUAAAAACUUAAAAAAUCUUCUUUUAAAGAACCCAAAGAGCUAGAGCUAAGAUAUUUAGCAUGAAACAUCUUCUAAUGAGUGUCUACCAAGUUUGUUCAAAUAAAAGCCCGGGGGUCAAAAUUGGCCCCGCCCCAGGGGGUCAUUGAUUUUCCCUAUAUGCAUAUAGUAAAAACUUAAAAAAUCUUCUUUUAAAGAACUCAAUAAGCUAGAGCUAAGAUAUUUAGCAUGAAACAUGUUCUAAUGGGUGUCUACCAAGUAUGUUCAAAUAAAAGCCCUGGGGUCAAAACUGGCCCCUCCUGGGGGGGGGGGGGGUCAUUGAUUUUCCUUAUAUGUGUAUAGCAAAAACUUAAAAAUCUUCAUUGUUUUUAACUAUAUGUGUAUAGUAAAAACUUUAAAAAUCUUCUUUUCAUGUCUACCAAGUCUGUUCAAAUAAACAAAUAAAAGCCCUUGGGUAAAAAUUGGCCCGGGGGUGGGGGGGCAUAUAUACAGGUGAGGGACCUCAGGGCCAUCAUGGCCCUCUUGUUAGCUCACCUCUCACUAAGUGACAGGCUAAACUGUUUAAUAAAAUGGCUGCCAGAGCUAAAAUUAGCAAACAACAUCUAUACCACUGGUUUAAUUUUGAAAUAAUUUUACACAAAAAUUUCCUUGUUAACAGUGUGCAUAAAUGUUCAGAUUAAGCUGUCCCUUGUUUUCAAAUUGUGCUUCUGUGUUGAAAACGGGCUCCACUUUGACCUGUUUCUCAGGUGAGUGAUCCAGGGCCCUCUUGUUUCAUAAAACUUCAAUGCCAAGAGCUAAGAUAUUUGUCAUUAAGCAUUUAAUAGCAGACAUCUACAAAUAUCUGAAGAAUAAUGCAGCUUGGGUAAAAUAUAUUCAAGGCAGACAUUCCUGACUGACAUGGAAAAUAAAAAUUGUGACCUUUCCUAGCAAUAUAUCUCAGAACUUAGAAGGUGACGACCAUAAAUCAAUAAGACCAGAGCUGCUGUAUGUACGUGGGAGAAUGUUUAAACAAAAAUUAAACAUUGAUCAGGUAAAGUUAGCAAAGUGGUUCUCCCCCUAUGGUAAUGUGGAUGUGAAAGCAUAUGGCCAAAAUAAAGCAUUGGUUGCUACAUCAAAUCACUACUGUGCCAAAGAUAUUUUGCGAGCAUUUAAACAGCACAACACAAUCUAUGUGACAUAUUAUAGUGUAUGGAAACACUCACCAAUUGCCAGGGGACUUUUGUGGACAGGAGUUUUGCUAUCAGGAAGUGCUUGUGUUGUUGCCUUAUUGACUGGUGAUAAAAAAACAUGACCCAAAAGAGACUUAAUUAAAGGAAAAGACUUGAAUUCAUAUAAAAGUUUGGAAUUGACAGUAAAGAUUGAAUUAAAUUUAACAUAAAAGAGACUAAAUUUACAAAAAAGAGGGGGAAAAGUUUGAGAUUUUCUGACAAACUUAUUUUACUUGAGGAAACUUGCGUGACAGGAUAUGAAAAAUACAGUUACAGUUCAAAUUCUUAAAGCUCACAAUUGGAAAAAAAGCAAAAUGUCAGCUUUGGAAACAUUAGGCGUAAAUCAAAUGUCCAAACCAAUUCGGAUUAGGGGAAGUAAAGUCAUGCACAAUUUUCUUUGUCACCAUGUCCUUCUGUCUUGUCGACGUCAGAAGACUGACAAAAUAGUGGAAUGUGGAGGCAUCUGUGUCCUAUUUGUACAACAAAUUUAUUCAGAAAAACUCAAGACUGAAAUACUUUAAUGAGUAAAUAGUUUGAUUGCUUAAGAAAGUGACAUAUUGUAGCUAGUAUGACACACAAGAAUGAAUAAAUGUUUUUGCAGUGUCAAGCCGUGGUAGCAGGCUUUGAUUAAUAAAAUAUGUUGAUCAAAUCAUUGAAAUAGUUUAUGAACAUAAAGUAAAGAAAUUUGUUUUUAACUUUUUGUUGUUACCGGUUUUUAGAAAUUUUAUUUUCUUCUUUUUUGAAUAAAAUUCAAUAUCUCUUUCAUUAUGUUCUUUCUUUACACCACUCCAUGGUGUUUAUCGUUUAAAGUGUUACAGGGUAAAUGUACUUAAGAGGAGAAUUGCCAUCGACGGCGUAGAAUAUGAUAAACAAGAUCAACAAGGAAAGGCGGCGUCCAAUGAACGCAACCCCCAUACGAACCAGCGGCAAGUAGCCCAGAAGGACCCAAACAAAAACAGAAACAGGACAUGUUGUAAGGCAGAGCACAGACAGGCUUAUCACUAAAAUGAUACAUAAGAAGAAAUAAUAGUAACCUAAAAGGAAAUCAAAAUAAAAAAAAAACAAAUAAAUAAUUGAUUAAUAGGCCCACUAAGUAAAAGGGCACAGAGGAAGGGGAUAGGAGAUUCGGGGAAUGGGGGUGCAAAAUUAAAGUUUAUGCAUUUUGUCAGAUAUUUUCUUUAAAAAAAGUGCGUUGCCAUCUUAGAUACCUUGUAUGGUCAUCAAAGAUUUCAAGUAAACACCUGUUUGAUUUAAAAUGCCUUAUUUUAUUGACAUCAUUUGUUGAAAUUUUAACGAUUUGAAAUUACAACCGUAAAAUUAGAUAAAAAAAUGAUACUAAAAUCUUCCAAAAAGACAGUACUCCCAAAACUUAAUACUUUAAUUGUUUCUCCCGCUGUUUCCAUUAUAUACCUUAAAAAGAGGCA